GGCACCAUAGCUCAGUGGUAGAGCACCUACAUUUUGCAUGCAGAAGCCCCCAGGUUCGAUCCAUGACAUCUCCA